rnacentral:rRNA from 1 species
CCUACGGGUGGCAGCAGUAGGGAAUCUUCCACAAUGGGCGAAAGCCUGAUGGAGCAACGCCGCGUGGGUGAAGAAGGUCUUCGGAUCGUAAAACCCUGUUGUUAGAGAAGAAAGUGCGUGAGAGUAACUGUUCACGUUUCGACGGUAUCUACCCAGAAAGCCACGGCUAACUACGUGCCAGCAGCCGCGGUAAUACGUAGGUGGCAAGCGUUAUCCGGAUUUAUUGGGCGUAAGGGGAACGCAGGCGGUCUUAUAAGUCUGAUGUGAAAGCCUUCGGCUUAACCGGAGUAGUGCAUUGGAAACUGGGAGACUUGAGUGCAGAAGAGGAGAGUGGAACUCCAUGUGUAGCGGUGAAAUGCGUAGAUAUAUGGAAGAACACCAGUGGCGAAGGCGGCCGGCCAAGCCAUGACUGACGCUGAUGCACGAAAGCGUGGGGAUCAAACAGGAUUAGAUACCCUGGUAGUC